rnacentral:rRNA from 1 species
UAGAUUUUAUGAUUCUUCUGUAGUGACAGCUAUGAGAAGCCUUUGUGGCCCUGCAAGGGGUAUCUGCCGCGACUAUAAACAAAGAUGUGGGUAUUAAAUCGCAAGUCAGUCCGUGAGGAUUUGGCUACACUUUCGAAUUGCGGGGACACCCUAAAGCUCAGCCUACCAAACCAUUGAGGAAACUCUUUGGUGGCCUAUACUAACAGUAUAGGGUACGGUAAUAAUGGCCUUGAGAUAUAUAGUAUGGGUAAUCCGCAGCCAAGUCUCUAAGGCCAUACCGGCUAUGAGGAAGGUUCACAGACUAAGUGGAAGUGGGCUGUUUGUUCAGCUUAAGAUAUAGUCGGGCCCUGCAAGAAAUUGCUUGGGAAUGUCAUAAUAAACCGUUCCGUAGGUGAACCUGCGGAAGGAUCAUUAAAAAUUGAAUCUGCAGUUAGGUUAGCCCUGCUGUGGUAUUUAAACCACAUUGUGAACCAAAAAAACUUUGCUUCGGUAGCAGGUUGGCUCAGGUUUUACCUGUUCCAGCUGUCAGCCUGCCGGCAGCACCAAUUAAACUUGUUUUAAAAAACUAGUCUGAUAACCAUUAUUUUCGAAUGAAAAUUAAAACUUUCAACAACGGAUCUCUUGGUUCUCGCAUCGAUGAAGAACGCAGCGAAACGCGAUAGUUAAUGUGAAUUGCAGAAUUCAGUGAAUCAUCGAGUCUUUGAACGCACAUUGCGCCUUUUGGUAUUCCGAAAGGCAUGUCUGUUUGAGCGUCAUUUCAACACUCUAUCUGGCUUAAUUGUCGGUUAGGUUUUGAGCCAGGCCCAGCAAUGGACCGGUUUUAAAGUUGAACGCUCUGCGGGUGACUUAGCCUGACCGAACAUAGUAAAAUUUUGAAUUGUUCAUAAAGCAAAGUGAAACUCAGCCUGAACAAAACCAUAUUUCUUAGGUUUGACCUCAGAUCAGACAAGGAUACCCGCUGAACUUAAGCAUAUCAAUAAGCGGAGGAAAAGAAACCAACAGGGAUUGCCUUAGUAACGGCGAGUGAAGCGGCAACAGCUCAAAUUUGAAAUCUGAGGUUUUUAACUUCCGAGUUGUAAUUUGAAGAGGAUGCUUCGGUUGUGGCCUGGGCCUAAGUUCCUUGGAACAGGACGUCGUAGAGGGUGAGAAUCCCGUACACGGCUACCGGCUUACUUCCAUGUGUAGCUCCUUCGAAGAGUCGAGUUGUUUGGGAAUGCAGCUCAAAAUGGGUGGUAAAUUUCAUCUAAAGCUAAAUACUGGCGAGAGACCGAUAGCGCACAAGUAGAGUGAUCGAAAGAUGAAAAGCACUUUGAAAAGAGAGUUAAACAGUACGUGAAAUUGUUGAAAGGGAAGCGUUUGCAAUCAGACUUGCUUUUAGUUGAUCAACGUUCCUUUUGGUUCGUGCACUCUGCUAUUUGCAGGCCAGCAUCAGUUAGAGCGGUGGGACAAAGACUCUGGGAAUGUGGCUCUCUUCGGGGAGUGUUAUAGCCCAGUGUGUAAUGCUACCUGUUCUGACUGAGGUCCGCGAUUUAUCUAGGAUGCUGGCAUAAUGAUUGUAAACGACCCGUCUUGAAACACGGACCAAGGAGUCUAACAUCUAUGCGAGUGUUUGGGUGUCAAACCCAUACGCGAAAUGAAAGUGAACGGAGGUGGGAGUCUCACGACGCACCAUCGACCGAUCCUGAUGUUUUCGGAUGGAUUUGAGUAGGAGCAUAGCUGUUGGGACCCGAAAGAUGGUGAACUAUGCCUGAAUAGGGUGAAGCCAGAGGAAACUCUGGUGGAGGCUCGCAGCGGUUCUGACGUGCAAAUCGAUCGUCAAAUUUGGGUAUAGGGGCGAAAGACUA